CGGCAAUGGAGGAAACUCUGACCGAGCAACGCCGCGUGAACGAUGAAGUAUUUCGGUACGUAAAGUUCUUUUAUUAGGGAAGAAUAAAUGAUGGAAAAAUCAUUCUGACGGUACCUAAUGAAUAAGCCCCGGCUAACUAUGUGCCAGCAGCCGCGGUAAUACAUAGGGGGCAAGCGUUAUCCGGAAUUAUUGGGCGUAAAGGGUGCGUAGGCGGUUAAAUAAGUUUAUGGUCUAAGUGCAAUGCUCAACAUUGUGAUGCUAUAAAAACUGUUUAGCUAGAGUAAGAUAGAGGCAAGUGGAAUUCCAUGUGUAGUGGUAAAAUGCGUAAAUAUAUGGAGGAACACCAGUAGCGAAGGCGGCUUGCUGGGUCUUUACUGACGCUGAGGCACGAAAGCGUGGGGAGCAAACAGGAUUAGAUACCCUGGUAGUCCACGCCGUAAACGAUGAGUACUAAACGUUGGGUAAAACCAGUGUUGAAGUUAACACAUUAAGUACUCCGCCUGAGUAGUACGUACGCAAGUAUGAAACUUAAAGGAAUUGACGGGACUCCGCACAAGCGGUGGAUCAUGUUGUUUAAUUCGAAGGUACCCGAAAAACCUCACCAGGUCUUGACAUGCUUCUGCAAAGCUGUAGAAACACAGUGGAGGUUAUCAGUUGCACAGGUGGUGCAUGGUUGUCGUCAGCUCGUGUCGUGAGAUGUUGGGUUAAGUCCCGCAACGAGCGCAACCCUUAUUGUUAGUUACCAGCACGUAAUGGUGGGGACUUUAGCAAGACUGCCAGUGAUAAAUUGGAGGAAGGUGGGGACGACGUCAAAUCAUCAUGCCCCUUAUGACCUGGGCUACAAACGUGAUACAAUGGCUGUUACAAAGGGUAGCUGAA
rnacentral:rRNA from 1 species